rnacentral:rRNA from 1 species
CACGUAGGCACCAAGCGUUAUCCGGAUUUAUUGGGCGUAAAGAGCUCGUAGGCGGUUCGGUAAGUCGGGUGUGAAAACUCUGGGCUCAACCCAGAGAGGCCACCCGAUACUGCUGUGACUAGAGUGCGGUAGGGGAGCGGGGAAUUCAUGGUGUAGCGGUGAAAUGCGCAGAUAUCAUGAGGAACACCAGUGGCGAAGGCGCCGCUCUGGGCCGUAACUGACGCUGAGGAGCGAAAGCAUGGGUAGCAAACAGG